UUAAGGAACUCGGCAAAUUACCCCCGUAACUUCGGGAGAAGGGGGGCCGGACACGUGAAGCAACACGCUUGUGGAGCGUGGUAUGGCCGCAGAGACCAGGGGGAAGCGACUGUUUACUAAAAACACAGGUCCAUGCGAAGAAGUAAUUCGAUGUAUAUGGACUGACGCCUGCCCGGUGCUGGAACGUUAAGGGGACCUGUUAGCUCUUCGGGGCGAAGCGGAGAACUUAAGCGCCAGUAAACGGCGGUGGUAACUAUAACCAUCCUAAGGUAGCGAAAUUCCUUGUCGGGUAAGUUCCGACCUGCACGAAUGGCGUAACGACUUCCCUACUGUCUCAACCACAGGCCCGGCGAAAUUGCAUUACGAGUAAAGAUGCUCGUUACGCGCGGCAGGACGGAAAGACCCCGGGACUUUUACUAUAGCUUGACAUUGGUAUCUGAGUUAAUUUGUGUAGGAUAGGUGGGAGCCUGUGAAGCUCGUACGCCAGUACGGGUGGAGGCAAUCUUGAAAUACCACUCUGGUUGAUUCGGGUAUCUAACUUCGGACCGUGAUCCGGUUCAGGGACAGUGUCUGGUGGGUAGUUUAACUGGGGCGGUUGCCUCCUAAAGAGUAACGGAGGCGCCCAAAGGUUCCCUCAGCCUGGUUGGCAAUCAGGUGUUGAGUGUAAGUGCACAAGGGAGCUUGACUGUGAGACUGACAGGUCGAGCAGGGACGAAAGUCGGGACUAGUGAUCCGGCACCGGCAUGGAAGCGGUGUCGCUCAACGGAUAAAAGGUACCCCGGGGAUAACAGGCUGAUCUUCCCCAAGAGUCCAUAUCGACGGGAUGGUUUGGCACCUCGAUGUCGGCUCGUCGCAUCCUGGGGCUGUAGCAGGUCCCAAGGGUUGGGCUGUUCGCCCAUUAAAGUGGUACGCGAGCUGGGUUUAGAACGUCGUGAGACAGUCCGGUCCCUAUCCGCCGUGCGCGUAGGAUACUUGAGAAGGGCUGUCCCUAGUACGAGAGGACCGGGACGGACGAACCUCUGGUGUGCCAGUUGUCCCGCCAGGGGCACGGCUGGUUAGCUACGUUCGGAAGGGAUAACCGCUGAAAGCAUCUAAGCGGGAAGCUCGCUUCAAGAUGAGGUAUCCCACCCACACUUGUGUGGGGUAAGGCCCCCAGCUAGACCACUGGGUUGAUAGGCCGGAAAUGUAAGCCCGGUAACGGGUUCAGUUGACCGGUACUAAUAGGCCGAGGACUUGACCUA
rnacentral:rRNA from 1 species